rnacentral:rRNA from 1 species
CAAAUCAGGUAGGACUACCCGCUGAACUUAAGCAUAUCAAUAAGCGGAGGAAAAGAAACUAACAAGGAUUCCCCUAGUAGCGGCGAGCGAAGCGGG